CCUACGGGAGGCUGCAGUGGGGAAUAUUGGACAAUGGGCGAAAGCCUGAUCCAGCCAUGCCGCGUGUGUGAAGAAGGCCUUCGGGUUGUAAAGCACUUUCAGUGGGGAAGAAAGCCUUGGGGCUAAUACCCUCGAGGAAGGACAUCACCCACAGAAGAAGCACCGGCUAACUCCGUGCCAGCAGCCGCGGUAAUACGGAGGGUGCGAGCGUUAAUCGGAAUUACUGGGCGUAAAGCGCGCGUAGGCGGUCUGAUAAGCCGGUUGUGAAAGCCCCGGGCUCAACCUGGGAACGGCAUCCGGAACUGUCAGGCUAGAGUGCAGGAGAGGAAGGUAGAAUUCCCGGUGUAGCGGUGAAAUGCGUAGAGAUCGGGAGGAAUACCAGUGGCGAAGGCGGCCUUCUGGACUGACACUGACGCUGAGGUGCGAAAGCGUGGGUAGCAAACAGGAUUAGAUACCCUUAGUAGUC
rnacentral:rRNA from 1 species